UUUCUUACUCAUUGAACUCUGAGGCCCGUGAAGGAACCUACAACGUCAUCGUGCAGAUGGGUGAACAGAAAAUCCGUCACAGUUUUAAGGUGGAGAAAUACGUUCUGCCAAGAUUUGAAGUAAAAAUAGAAACACCUGAGACAGUUAGUAUCGGGCAAGAAGACAUCAAAGCUCAAAUAUGUGCAAAGUAUACAUACGGACAGCCUGUGCCAGGCAAUGUCAAAAUUGAGUUGCUCCGACCAUUCAAGCGCAUAAGAUACGUGAUCCCUAUAUUUCCAGGCGGG